rnacentral:rRNA from 1 species
CCUACGGGAGGCAGCAGUGAGGAAUAUUGGUCAAUGGACGAGAGUCUGAACCAGCCAAGUAGCGUGAAGGAUGACUGCCCUAUGGGUUGUAAACUUCUUUUAUCUGGGAAUAAAACCUUCCACGUGUGGCAUUUUGUAUGUACCUUAUGAAUAAGGAUCGGCUAACUCCGUGCCAGCAGCCUCGGUAAUCCGGAGGAUCCGAGCGUUAUCCGGAUUUAUUGGGUUUAAAGGGAGCGUAGGCGGAGUGUUAAGUCAGUUGUGAAAGUCUGCGGCUCAACCGUAAAAUUGCAGUUGAAACUGGCAGUCUUGAGUACAGUAGAGGUGGGCGGAAUUCGUGGUGGAGCGGUGAAAUGCUUAGAUAUCACGAAGAACUCCGAUUGCGAAGGCAGUUGACUGGACUGCAACUGACGCUGAGGCUCGAAAGUGUGGGUAUCAAACAGGAUUAGAUACCCCUGUAGUC